AUUGAACGCUGGCGGCAGGCCUAACACAUGCAAGUCGAGCGGUAGCACAGAGAGCUUGCUCUCGGGUGACGAGCGGCGGACGGGUGAGUAAUGUCUGGGAAACUGCCUGAUGGAGGGGGAUAACUACUGGAAACGGUAGCUAAUACCGCAUAACGUCGCAAGACCAAAGUGGGGGACCUUCGGGCCUCAUGCCAUCAGAUAUGCCCAGAUGGGAUUAGCUAGUAGGUGGGGUAACGGCUCACCUAGGCGACGAUCCCUAGCUGGUCUGAGAGGAUGACCAGCCACACUGGAACUGAGACACGGUCCAGACUCCUACGGGAGGCAGCAGUGGGGAAUAUUGCACAAUGGGCGCAAGCCUGAUGCAGCCAUGCCGCGUGUGUGAAGAAGGCCUUCGGGUUGUAAAGCACUUUCAGCGGGGAGGAAGGCGGUGAGGUUAAUAACCUCAUCGAUUGACGUUACCCGCAGAAGAAGCACCGGCUAACUCCGUGCCAGCAGCCGCGGUAAUACGGAGGGUGCAAGCGUUAAUCGGAAUUACUGGGCGUAAAGCGCACGCAGGCGGUCUGUCAAGUCGGAUGUGAAAUCCCCGGGCUCAACCUGGGAACUGCAUUCGAAACUGGCAGGCUAGAGUCUUGUAGAGGGGGGUAGAAUUCCAGGUGUAGCGGUGAAAUGCGUAGAGAUCUGGAGGAAUACCGGUGGCGAAGGCGGCCCCCUGGACAAAGACUGACGCUCAGGUGCGAAAGCGUGGGGAGCAAACAGGAUUAGAUACCCUGGUAGUCCACGCCGUAAACGAUGUCGAUUUGGAGGUUGUGCCCUUGAGGCGUGGCUUCCGGAGCUAACGCGUUAAAUCGACCGCCUGGGGAGUACGGCCGCAAGGUUAAAACUCAAAUGAAUUGACGGGGGCCCGCACAAGCGGUGGAGCAUGUGGUUUAAUUCGAUGCAACGCGAAGAACCUUACCUGGUCUUGACAUCCACAGAACUUUCCAGAGAUGGAUUGGUGCCUUCGGGAACUGUGAGACAGGUGCUGCAUGGCUGUCGUCAGCUCGUGUUGUGAAAUGUUGGGUUAAGUUCCGCAACGAGCGCAACCCUUAUCCUUUGUUGCCAGCGGUCCGGCCGGGAACUCAAAGGAGACUGCCAGUGAUAAACUGGAGGAAGGUGGGGAUGACGUCAAGUCAUCGUGGCCCUUACGACCAGGGCUACACACGUGCUACAAUGGCAUAUACAAAGAGAAGCGACCUCGCGAGAGCAAGCGGACCUCAUAAAGUAUGUCGUAGUCCGGAUUGGAGUCUGCAACUCGACUCCAUGAAGUCGGAAUCGCUAGUAAUCGUAGAUCAGAAUGCUACGGUGAAUACGUUCCCGGGCCUUGUACACACCGCCCGUCACACCAUGGGAGUGGGUUGCAAAAGAAGUAGGUAGCUUAACCUUCGGGAGGGCGCUUACCACUUUGUGAUUCAUGACUGGGGUGA
rnacentral:rRNA from 1 species